UCCAGAGAUGGAUCUUUCAGUUCGGCUGGAUACCACACAGGUGCUGCAUGGCUGUCGUCAGCUCGUGUCGUGAGAUGUUCCGGUUAAGUCCGGCAACGAGCGCAACCCACAUUCUUAGUUGCCAGCAUUCAGUUGGGCACUCUGGAAAACUGCCGAUGAUAAGUCGGAGGAAGGUGUGGAUGACGUCAAGUCCUCAUGGCCCUUACGGGUUGGGCUACACACGUGCUACAAUGGCAGUGACAAUGGGUUAAUCCCAAAAAGCUGUCUCAGUUCGGAUUGGGGUCUGCAACUCGACCCCAUGAAGUCGGAAUCGCUAGUAAUCGCGUAACAGCAUGACGCGGUGAAUACGUUCCCGGGCCUU
rnacentral:rRNA from 1 species